AUGCAUUUAAUUUGCAUGAUGAUAUAUUUACUUUAUAUUUCCAUUAUGAUUAGAAAUUUGGGAUGAUUUAUUUCCAACACUCUAUAUCUAAGUAACAUCACAAUUUGAUGUAAAAACUUCACUGCAUUUCUUUGGUGUAGUGCACACAAGGAAACUGAGGCACCUUAAGCAACCAAAGAAAGAAACCUUAAGUAAUCAACCAACAUCCCAAUAAACAGAGUAUAUACCAGAAAGUAUUUCUGUACUCAAAACUCUCCUGCUGUUUCAGUUUCUAUUAUUUGCCUCAUUGGUUGUGUUUGUUUGUUUGUUUUUAAUGUGUGACAAAGUAAGAGAAGUUCCUAAAAUCAGAGAAGAAAAGCUUUGAAGUAUGCAGGGGUUGUGUUUCUUGCCAUGGAGACCACAUGCCUAUGAAUGUUUGCAGCUGCCGGCUUCCAGUAACAGAUGCUGAAAAAGAAGGUGGUCUUGCCAAGGGGAUGGCUGCACCCAGAGCCUUCCAGCACAGACAACCAGGGAGAGAUCUGAACCAAACUUCAAAAUCUAAUGCUCUAGCAUGCAGGAGUGGGACCCAGAAUCCAAAGCCAGAGAUGUGCAAGUGGGCCUUUUUCAUUUAGUAACACACUAACGUAUAUUAAGAUUCCAUUGUUGAGUUCUGAGAAAAAAAAAAAAAAAGACCUUCAAAGACCUUUAAAAAACCUGUAUCAGUUUAUCUAUACUGUAUCUGAAAAAUAAAAAUAUAUAUGUAUUUCA
rnacentral:lncRNA from 1 species